CAGUCGCCGCGGUAAUACGAAGGGGGCUAGCGUUGCUCGGAAUCACUGGGCGUAAAGGGUGCGUAGGCGGGUCUUUAAGUCAGAGGUGAAAGCCUGGAGCUCAACUCCAGAACUGCCUUUGAUACUGAGGAUCUCGAGUUCGGGAGAGGUGAGUGGAACUGCGAGUGUAGAGGUGAAAUUCGUAGAUAUUCGCAAGAACACCAGUGGCGAAGGCGGCUCACUGGCCCGAUACUGACGCUGAGGCACGAAAGCGUGGGGAGCAAACAGGAUUAGAUACCCCCGUAGUCCCUGUCUCUUAUAC
rnacentral:rRNA from 1 species